rnacentral:lncRNA from 1 species
CGGCGUUUUGCAUUUGCGCCGAUCUGCAUUUCAUUUGCGCCGAUUUUUUCUUUCAUUUGCGCCGAUUUUUUACAGGUAAAUUACAGGUUAAUUACAGGUGAAUAGAUAUAAGAAGAUGUGGUAUGAGUGCAAAUGAGACAACUCUCCAUCCAAGUCAUGUUAUUUUUCAUUUAUCAUUAUAGACCUCUUCCGUCUUCAAGUUGUACACUAUAUUCACAUACUUUAAAAUCAAGAAGUAAAAACCUUAGAUAAAAGCACUCUGGUUUAUACUAAAAUGACGAAUUGAAAAUCUAUUUACAGC